rnacentral:rRNA from 1 species
GAGUUCAAUUAUAAACCAGAUGAACGCUGGCGGGAUGCUUUACACAUGCAAGUCGAACGGCAGCACGGACUUCGGUCUGGUGGCGAGUGAGCAGGUGAAAGUAAUGUAUCGGAACGUGCCUAGUAGCGGGGGAUAACUGCGCGAAAGCGUAGCUAAUACCGCAUCCGCCCUUCGGGGAGAAAGCGGGGGACCUUCGGGCCUCGCACUAUUAGAGCGGCCGAUAUCGGAUUAGCUAGUUGGUGGGGUAACGGCUCACCAGAAGCGUGAUCCGCCAGCUGGUUUGAAGGACGACCAACCCCGCAAGGACGGACACGGCCCAGACUCCUACGGGAGGCAGCAGUGAGGAAUUUUGGACAAUGGAAACCUGAUCCCAAUGUCCACGUGUGCGAUGAAGGCCUUCGGGUUGUAAAGCACUUUUGGCAAGAAAGAAACGGCACGGGAUAAUACCCCGUGCAACUGACGUUACCUGCAGAAUAACACCAGCCUAACUACGUGCCUUCAGCCGCGGUAAUACGUAGGGUGCAAGCGUUAAUCGGAAUUACCGGGCGUAAAGCGUGCGCAGGCGGUUCGGAAAGAAAGAUGUGAAAUCCCAGGCUGCUUUGGAACUGCAUUUUAACUACAGACAAGUGUGUCAGUGGAAUUCCGCGUGUAGCAGUGAAAUGCGUAGAUAUGCGGAGGAACACCGAUGAAGGCAGCCUCCUGGGGUGCUGCGACGCUCAUGCACGAAAGCGUGGGGGAGCAAACAGGAUCCGAUGCCCUGGUAGUCCACGCCUAAACGAUAUCAACUAGCUGUUACAGGCCUUCGGGCCUUGGUAGCGCAACUAACGCGUGAAGUUGACCGCCUGGGAAAUUGCAGUCGCAAGAUUAAAACUCAAAGGAAUUGACGGGGACCCGCACAAGCGGUGGAUGAUGUGGAUUAAUUCGAUGCAACGCGAAAAAGAAGAAAAGUACUUACCUACCCUUGACAUGUCUGGAAUCCCGAAGAGAUUUGGGAGUGCUCGCAAGAGAACCGGAACACGGGUGCUGCAUGGCUGUCGUCAGCUCGUGUCGUGAGAUGUUGGGUUAAGUCCCGCAACGAGCGCAACCCUUGUCAUUAGUUGCUACGAAGGGCACUCUAAUGAGACUGCCGGUGACAAACCGGAGGAAGGUGGGGAUGACGUCAAGUCCUCAUGGCCCUUAUGGGUAGGGCUUCACACGUCAUACAAUGGUCGGGACAGAGGUCGCCAGCCGCGAGGGCAAUCCCAGAAACCCGAUCGUAGUCCGGAUAUGAUCUGCAACUCGACUGCGUGAAGUCGGAAUCGCUAGUAAUCGCGGAUCAGCAUGUCGCGGGUGAAUACGUUCCCGGGUCUUGUACACACCGCCCGUCACACCAUGGGAGUGGGUUUUACCAGAAGUAGUUAGCCUAACCGUAAGGAGGGCGAUUACCACGGUAGGAUUCAUGACUGGGGUGGAAGUCGUAACAAGGUAG